rnacentral:rRNA from 1 species
AUGGUGGGGGGUGGAAAGAUUUUUUGGUUUUGGAUGGACUCGCGGCCUAUCAGCUUGUUGGUGGGGUAAUGGCCUACCAAGGCGACGACGGGUAGCCGGCCUGAGAGGGUGACCGGCCACACUGGGACUGAGACACGGCCCAUACUCCUACGGGAGGCAGCAGUGGGGAAUAUUGCACAAUGGGCGCAAGCCUGAUGCAGCGACGCCGCGUGAGGGAUGACGGCCUUCGGGUUGUAAACCUCUUUCAGCAGGGAAGAAGCGUUAAGUGACGGUACCUGCAGAAGAAGCGCCGGCUAACUACGUGCCAGCAGCCGCGGUAAUACGUAGGGCGCAAGCGUUGUCCGGAAUUAUUGGGCGUAAAGAGCUCGUAGGCGGUUUGUCGCGUCUGCUGUGAAAGCCCGGGGCUCAACCCCGGGUCUGCAGUGGGUACGGGCAGACUGGAGUGCAGUAGGGGAGACUGGAAUUCCUGGUGUAGCGGUGAAAUGCGCAGAUAUCAGGAGGAACACCGAUGGCGAAGGCAGGUCUCUGGGCUGUAACUGACGCUGAGGAGCGAAAGCAUGGGGAGCGAACAGGAUUAGAUACCCUGGUAGUCCAUGCCGUAAACGUUGGGCACUAGGUGUGGGGGACAUUCCACGUUUUCCGCGCCGUAGCUAACGCAUUAAGUGCCCCGCCUGGUGAGUACGGCCGCAAGGCUAAAACUCAAAGGAAUUGACGGGGGCCCGCACAAGCGGCGGAGCAUGCGGAUUAAUUCGAUGCAACGCGAAAAACCUUACCAAGGCUUGACAUGGGCCGGAUCGCCGCAGAAAUGCGGUUUCCCUUCGGGGCCGGUUCACAGGUGGUGCAUGGYUGUCGUCAGCUCGUGUCGUGAGAUGUUGGGUUAAGUCCCGCAACGAGCGCAACCCUCGUUCUAUGUUGCCAGCGCGUGAUGGCGGGGACUCAUAGGAGACUGCCGGGGUCAACUCGGAGGAAGGUGGGGACGACGUCAAAUCAUCAUGCCCCUUAUGUCUUGGGCUUCACGCAUGCUACAAUGGCCGGUACAAAGGGUUGCGAUACUGUGAGGUGGAGCUAAUCCCAAAAAGCCGGUCUCAGUUCGGAUUGAGGUCUGCAA